AAAUCAAACCACUAAAAUCUUAUUGACAUUAGGUAAAAAGAAAAUUGCAACACAUGACUCAUUCAUCACACUCGUACUCUAAUUUCACAUAUUAUACAAAUAUUUUUAGCUUAUUGCCAUCUCUAUACAUGUUAGAGUAUGUGCUAUCAUUUUUAGAGAAAAAAUCCAACUAAUUAACAUAUCAAUGAUGAAUCACAUUUAAUGUAACCAUAUUAAACCCCAACUCUUUCAAGCAUUUCAUCAAAUGGUUGUCUUGCAUCCAAGGGUCACUUAUGAUUAUAAAAUUGAGCUUUCCUUUUGCCAAUGCUACUCUUCCCAGCAAAUCAAAUAAGAACUUAGUUCAAGGAAAUCUUUAGCCUAAUGCUUCCAGCCUAAUUAAUACCAAUGAACUACAAAAUAUUUGAAUUACAAGCAUUAAAACAUCAUAUAUGAAUACAAUUCUAGCAAUAAUAAAGAUUUAUUUCAGUUAAAACAUAAUUUCCAACAACUAUAUACAUCUAAUUUCAGUUAACAACGCCAUUUUUAGCUAAAAUGUGAUUUCCAACAUAUAUAUACAUCUGAUUUCAGUUAAAAACGUAAUUUCUAGCAACAAUAACAACUAAUUUCAACCAAUUGAAGAACAUUUUUCAUAUUUCAGCAAAACAUAUAUAUUUUUAGCAAAGAAAUCUGAUUUUUAACAACUACUAACAUAUAAUUUCAGCAAAUAAAUCCAAUUUUCAACAAAUGCACAUAUGAUUUUCGUGUUUUAGCAAACUAAUCUGAUUUCACCAUAUAACAUCCGAUUUCCAGCAACUAUAAUAAACCCUAGAAGAUAACAUCUGAUUUUACGGAAAAUGUUCUUACCGGUGAAAGUAGAGAUCGAAGACGACGUUAAGAUGUAGCGAGCGACGGCUAACCUGUUUCAGUGGAAAAACCGGCGGUGAGAUUGUGAAGAUCGAUGGUGGAGCGGCUGAAGAAAAUCUGUGGUGUUUUGUUAAGAGGCUAAAGAGGUAGCGAUGGAUGUCGGCGGCGGAUGUAGACGUCAACGACGAUGGAAGACGACAACUGGGUGGACGGUAAAGGCACUGGCAGCGAGAGGAGGAGGAUGACAGGUGAAGGGCGGGGGGUUGAAGGCUGAGAACGAAAGAGGUGAUGAUAUGUCUAAAGCAAUAAAGGGAGUUUUUUUUAGGUUUUAAUAAUGUGUACAGACUUUAGAAAAC
rnacentral:lncRNA from 1 species